CAACGCCCAGUGGGAGAGUUCAGUCAGCAGGUAGUUCAGUUGAUUGGCGCCGAAGGAGCAACCGCCCCGGGAAACUCUCAGGCCUCCGGACCGCAGGGAAGAA
rfam:Marine actinobacterium MedAcidi-G3 MedDCM-JTLCOM-C106, whole genome shotgun sequence.